UACGUAGGGGGCAAGCGUUGUUCGGAAUUACUGGGCGUAAAGGGCGCGUAGGCGGCACGGCAAGUCAGGAGUGAAAGCCCUGGGCUCAACCCGGGAACUGCUUUUGAAACUGCCGAGCUAGAGUGCGGAAGGGGCAACUGGAAUUCCCAGUGUAGCGGUGAAAUGCGUAGAUAUCGAGAGGAACACCUGCGGCGAAGGCGGGUUGCUGGGCUGACACUGACGCUGAUGCGCGAAAGCCAGGGGAGCGAACGGG
rnacentral:rRNA from 1 species